rnacentral:lncRNA from 1 species
CAGCACGCGGGUUCCAGCAGCACCGGUGCUGUGACUUCCUCUGCCCGCCCUGGAGCCGCAACCCGCGAGCUUUCCCGGCCUCGCACACUGAGCAGCCGAACCUGCCGUGCUGCACGCGGUCCCUCCGGGCAGAGGCCCGCCAGCUCUGAGCCUCGCCCGGCCGCCGCUUCAGCCGUGGGGAACGGCGGCACACAGGCUGAGCCGGCCGCCAUCGGCGCGGGGCAACGGCGAAGGCCCGGCCUCUCAUUGGUCGGCGCCGGCACCGCCCCGCCUCCGGCCUCCCUCUCAUUCGUCAGCGCCGGCACCGCCCCGCCUCCGGCCUCCCUCUCAUUCGUCAGCGCCGGCACCGCCCCGCCCCCGGCCUCCGUCUCAUUGGUCAGCGCCGGCGCCGCCGGCUCUCUUCUCUCUCCCCUUCCCUUCAGCUCCCUUGCGGCGUCUCUCCCCUGCCCCGUUCCCGUCCCCUGCCGUUACCUUGCAGCAUCUCCCACCAGUUUCCUUCCCUUCCCCUCCCUUGCGGCGUUUCCCCCCAGUCCCCUUCCUUUCCUGCAUCUCCCUCUGGUCUCCUUCGCUUCCCUUGCAUCAUCUCACCCCGGUUUCCUUCCCUUCUCUUCCCUUGCAGCAUCUCAUACCGGUCCCCUUCCCUUUCGUUCCAGCGUUUCCCCCUGGUCCCCUUCCCUUGUUUCCCCUCACCCUGGUUUCCUUCUCUUCCCUUCCUAUGUGGCAAAUUCUCCCAGUCCCAAUCCCAUUCCCUUCUCUUCCCUUACACGAUUUCCCCUGUCCCCCUCCCUUCCUAUACGGCAUUUCCCCACAGUUUCCUUCCCAUGCCUUCCCUUCCCUUAUGUCAUCUCUCCCAUUUCCAUCCUUUCUCUUCCCUUCCCAUGGGGUGUCUCCUCCUGGUCUCCUUUCUCUUCCAUUACCUUGUGGCAUCUCCCCCCUGUUUCUUUCUCUUCUCUUCCCUUCCCUUCCCGAUGCUCCUUGUGCAAGUCAUGGAAUCGUGCACCAUUAAGUUUCAUUAUUACCAUCAGAACACGCUGGAUGUGA